UACGGAGGGUGCAAGCGUUAUCCGGAUUCACUGGGUUUAAAGGGUGCGUAGGUGGGAAUGUAAGUCAGUGGUGAAAUCUCCGUGCUUAACAUGGAAACUGCCAUUGAUACUACUGAUCUUGAAUUUUCAGGAGGUAAGCGGAAUAUGUCAUGUAGCGGUGAAAUGCUUAGAUAUGACAUAGAACACCAAAUUGCGAAGGCAGCUUACUACAGGAAUAUUGACACUGAUGCACGAAAGCGUGGGGAUCAAACAGG
rnacentral:rRNA from 1 species